rnacentral:tRNA from 1 species
GCCUGGCUGGCUCAGUCAGUGGAGCAUGUGACUCUUAAUCUCAAGGUUGUGAGUUUGAGCCCCACGUUGGUUG